rnacentral:rRNA from 1 species
AUACGGAGGGUGCAAGCGUUAAUCGGAAUUACUGGGCGUAAAGCGCGCGUAGGCGGUUUGGUAAGUCGGAUGUGAAAGCCCCGGGCUCAACCUGGGAAUUGCAUUCGAUACUGCCAGACUAGAGUAUGGUUGAGGGAAGUGGAAUUCCGGGUGUAGCGGUGAAAUGCGUAGAUAUCCGGAGGAACACCAGUGGCGAAGGCGACUUCCUGGACCAAUACUGACGCUGAGGUGCGAAAGCGUGGGGAGCAAACAGGAUUAGAAACCCCAGUAGUCC